UUGUCGAUGGCGAUUUUAUUGUUGAAAUUAAAUGUCCAUUUGGAGUAAAAGACACUAAGACAUUUUUAGAAGCUAUAAACAGUAAAAAGUUAUCCUUCUGUCGUCUUAGUAACAAAGGGAAAAUGGAAUUGAAAUUAGAUCACAAUUAUUACUACCAAGUUCA